AGUGAACGCUGGCGGUAGGCCUAACACAUGCAAGUCGAACGGCAGCACAGUAAGAGCUUGCUCUUACGGGUGGCGAGUGGCGGACGGGUGAGGAAUACAUCGGAAUCUACUUUUUCGUGGGGGAUAACGUAGGGAAACUUACGCUAAUACCGCAUACGACCUACGGGUGAAAGCAGGGGAUCUUCGGACCUUGCGCGAUUGAAUGAGCCGAUGUCGGAUUAGCUAGUUGGCGGGGUAAAGGCCCACCAAGGCGACGAUCCGUAGCUGGUCUGAGAGGAUGAUCAGCCACACUGGAACUGAGACACGGUCCAGACUCCUACGGGAGGCAGCAGUGGGGAAUAUUGGACAAUGGGCGCAAGCCUGAUCCAGCCAUACCGCGUGGGUGAAGAAGGCCUUCGGGUUGUAAAGCCCCUUUGUUGGGGAAGAAAAGCAGCAGGUUAAUACCCCGCUGUUCUGACGGUACCCAAAGAAUAAGCACCGGCUAACUUCGUG
rnacentral:rRNA from 1 species